rnacentral:rRNA from 1 species
UCCACCCCUGUGAUUAUACCUUUAAUUGUUGCUUCGGCGGGACUUCGCGCCCGCCGGCGGCACCCAAACCUUCUGAAUUUUAUAAUAAGUAUCUUCUGAGUGGUUAAAAAUGAAUCAAAACUUUCAACAACGGAUCUCUUGGUUCUGGCAUCGAUGAAAAACGCAGCGAAAUGCGAUAAGUAAUGUGAAUUGCAAAAUACAGUGAAUCAUCGAAUCUUUGAACGCACAUUGCGCCCGUCAGUAUUCUGGCGGGCAUGCCUGUUCGAGCGUCAUUACGCCCCUCAAGUCCCCUGUGGACUUGGUGUUGCGCCCAUCGGAUCGUUGCAGAGCCUGCCGUAUAUGCUAGUAGCUUUCGAGGCUGGUUUUCCAGCACAGCCGUCCCUUAAAUUAAUUGGCGGUCUCGCCGUGGCCCUCCUCUGCGCAGUAGUAAAGCACUCGCAACAGGAGCCCGGCGCGGUCCACUGCCGUAAAACCGGGCGAACUUCUCGGAGU